ensembl:lncRNA
GGGGUUAGAGGAGGGUUAGAGGAGGGUUAGAGGAGGGUUGGAGGAGAGUUAGAGGAGGUUAGAAGAGGGUUGGAGGAGAGUUAGAGGACGGUUAAAGAGUUAGAGGAGGUUUAGAGGGGUUAUAGGAGGGUUAGAGGAGAGUUAGAGGAGAGUUAGAGGGGUUAGAGGAGAGUUAGAGGAGGGUUAAAGAGUUAGAGGAGGUUUAGAGGAGGGUUAGAGGAGAGUUAGAGGAGAGUUAGAGGAGAGUUAGAGGAGGUUUAGAGGGGGUUAUAGGAGGGUUAGAGGAGAGUUAGAGGAGAGUUAGAGGAGAGUUAGAGGAGAGUUAGAGGAGAGUUAGAGGAGGUUUAGAGGAGGGUUAGAGGAGGGUUAGAGGAGAGUUAGAGGAGAGUUAGAGGAGGGUUAAAGAGUUAGAGGAGGGUUAAAGAGUUAGAGGAGGGUUAAAGAGUUAGAGGACGGUUAAAGAGUUAGAGGAGAGUUAAAGAGUUAGAGGAGGGUUAAAGAGUUAGAGGACGGUUAAAGAGUUAGAGGACGGUUAAAGAGUUGGAGAGUUAGAGGAGAGUUAAAGAGUUAGAGGAGGGUUAGAGUUAUAGGGGGGUUAGAGAGUUAGGAGGGUUAGAGAGUUAGGAGGGUUAGAGAGUUAGGAGGGUUAGAGAGGGGGGGUUGGAGAGUUAGAGGAGGGUUAAAGAGUUAGAGGAGGGUUAAAGAGUUGGAGAGUUAGAGGAGGGUUAGAGAGUUAGAGGGG